CCCGAAACCAGACGAGCUACUUACGGGCAGCUGUUAAGAGCCAAUCCAUCUAUGUAGCAAAAUAGUGGAAAGACCUUUAAGUAGAGGUGAAAAGCCUAUCGAGCCUGGUGAUAGCUGG
rnacentral:rRNA from 1 species